rnacentral:lncRNA from 10 species
GGGCUCAGGGGCCGAGAGGGAGCUGGGCUUGGGGCGGGGCCGAGACGGAGCGAGGGGUCCAGGGUGUGAGAAACGGGGAGGGGUUUGAGGAGGGGAUUGGAGUGUGGCUCAAGUUCGGGAGGCGUUACCUGCGGAGGGUUUGAGGCAGGCCCAGGAGCGAGCCCACGGUCUGCCGACGCGGGGCCAGCGGCGGGCCCCAGGAUCCGGAGCUUCGGGCGGGGCCGAGUCCAGGUUUGGGGCCCGGGAGGUGGGGCCGGUUAGGGCGAGGGUCCCCGGGAUCGUAGUGUCAGGCCUUGGGCCAACGUAGGCACUCGCAGUUCCUCCGCCUUCAGGAAGGUCUUUUUGGCAGGGGCCUUACGGGUGCGCGCUUCGGUCCUGGAGGCGUUAUCCUAGCCUCCUCUCCAUCAGCGCCACCCGUCUGGGGCCCGAUAGGAGGGAGCUUUCUGUCUGUCCCCCAGCCUUUGGACUGUCACCAAACAAGCCAUCCGUUCACCAAAUACUUAUUAAGCGCCUACCAUGUGUCUGGCAAGGGAGGUGUAACAGUGAGAAAAACUAGGUGUGGUCCAGGCCCUCCAGGGGCUCAGGGGCUCGUGGAAGAAGUGGACAUUGAAGUACUUACCACACAAAUGAGCAUGAAAGUACAAUAGCAAUAUCUGCCACGAAGCUGUUGUUCCCCACCAGAACCAAAUGAGCGCAAGAUCUGACAAAGAAAAAAAAAGGUUCAUCUUUUAUUCCGCCAAACACUUUCAUCUAAAUCAAGAGGGUGGGAUGUGGUUAUUGCUGUGUUUUUAGACAGAAUCAACAGUUUCUGGGUCUGAGAUAUUGCAUACACCCUCUCAGUCCCUGUAUCCUCAGAUGGAGUCACCUGAGAAUCCACAGCAAGUCCUAACCGGGGAUGGGUCUGGGUGGUUAAGGAAGGUUGGCCUCAGAACUGGGCCAGGGGCACUGCUUUGCUUUUGCUGUUU